AGCCCCGUGGUGUGAAAGUUCCAGAGGGAUGGGAAAGAAAGGAAGGACAGGAAGUCAGCACAUGUUCGUGCUGCAUGCAAGGUGUCCCAGAGGAUGCUGUUCUGUACUUCCCAGUCACAUGGGGCUGUCCAGAAAAAGCUGAGUCAGUGUGCUCGAGCACUCCUGCUGCCGGCAGGAGCAGCUCCGCUGGAACACACUGGGUACAUGAGUCAGAGUCACUCCUUUCCUGAGUGAAAGCACAGUGUCUGAGACUGAGCAAAGGACAGACUGCAAAGCAGUGAAGGAGCCAGCCUGUCUGUCCAGUGACUGAUUGACAGACCCUCCUUCCAGAAGGGUGAUUGUGUGGAUCUCCUGAAGGAAAAAUUUCAACCACUUGUAGUGGAAAGGUAUGGCCUGAAGGGAUGAAAAUAAGCUACAGCAGCUGCUUCUGCAGCCAGAACAGAAGGGAACUGAGCAGCAUGCUCUACUUGCUGGGUGAACCCACAGUGACCACAACUGUGUGAAGGUAGUAGAGCCUCAGAGACAGACUGCAGAUCUCCGGGAGCCAGUGGAGAGGAGGAGCACCCUUCGCAUUCCUGCCCAGUUAGUGACUGGUCUGCUUUCUAGGCAGCUGACAAGGCUUCGACCUGGCCCCGGGCUCACCGUGCCAUCAUGCCCAGCAGCAUCACAGCAGCGCGGCGUUCCAGCGAUGAGCAUGGAGACUUUUCCGUGAAUCGCUCCCAAAGCAGCUGGGUCACAGCAGGCUUUAUUUCAUCUUUCUGCACAAACUCUGAGAUCUGCAAAAGGAAUGCAAUUUAAAAAUCAGAGAGAGGCAAAGGAGAAUGAACUUCAAAGUAAAGACGUAAUCUACAAUGACUACCAUUUGAAUAAAACAGAUACACAACCCAAA